rnacentral:tRNA from 1 species
GCCCGCCUAGCUCAAUCGGAUAGAGCGUCAGACUCUUACGGCGGGUUCACCAGGUGCUCCUGGGUUCAGAACAUGGUCAUGUUAUCUGAAGGCUGCGAGUUCGACCCUCGCGGUGGGCU